AACGCGAAGAACCUUACCAGCGUUUGACAUCCUUGUCGCGGUUACCAGAGAUGGUUUCCUUCAGUUCGGCUGGACAAGUGACAGGUGCUGCAUGGCUGUCGUCAGCUCGUGUCGUGAGAUGUUGGGUUAAGUCCCGCAACGAGCGCAACCCUCGUCCUUAGUUGCCAUCAUUAAGUUGGGCACUCUAAGGAAACCGCCGGUGAUAAGCCGGAGGAAGGUGGGGAUGACGUUAAGUCCUCAUGGCCCUUACGCGCUGGGCUACACACGUGCUACAAUGGCGGUGACAGUGGGCAGCAAACCCGCGAGGGUGAGCUAAUCUCCAAAAGCCGUCUCAGUUCGGAUUGUUCUCUGCAACUCGAGAGCAUGAAGGCGGAAUCGCUAGUAAUCGCGGAUCAGCAUGCCGCGGUGAAUACGUUCCCAGGCCUUGUACACACCGCCCGU
rnacentral:rRNA from 1 species